AAUUAUAGACUAUUUUCACUAGAGAACAGUAGUUCAUUUCACAAAUUACAGUUUCAAACAAGUUCACGUAUCGGUACACACUGCACUUCACAUAUUACAAUUUCAGUGGCCAGAUUACACUUUCUUCUUCUUCAGGGUGAUUUUUAACUAAACAUCUAACAAUGCGUGGAGACGACGUUGCUCCUGCUGAAAUAGUACUACCAUCUUCUGUCGUAGCAAUCUGUUAUGAGACAACCCCAGCCCUCCAGUCACCACUUCUUCAAUCCUUGUCAUUGAUGUCGGUACCAGUCCUUGAGUAACUUCGGCUCUUGAAUUAGGAACCACUUCAUCAGUAUGUUCUUGCAUCAGGAACCACUUCAUCAAUAUGUUACUGUCAUAUAGCCCGAAGCUCUUUAGGAACCACUUCAUCAGUAUGUUGCCCGUGAACUAUCUCGUGUACAUGCAACCUAUAGAGCAUAAUGGAAUUAAAUAGUUGUGACCUCACCACAUAAGAAUCUAACUAGAUAUAUGCUCGUGUGUUGCUAUGAUAAAUUACAUUAAUAUACAAAAAAUAUUAUAAUUUAUAAUAUUAACUCCGUAGCAACGCACGGGCAUAUACCUAUUAUAUAUAUAUAUAUAUAUAUAUAUAUAUAUAUAUAUAUAUAUAUAUAUAUAUAUAUAUAUAUAAAAUCUAAGAGGUGCAACGAACAAGUGAUAAAAAAUGGCCGUGGCAAAUGCAGGAUGCUACAGGACCACUGUAGCGAGAUAAGUUCGAGCAUGACACUGACGGAAGAACCGAGACAGGUAUGCCAUGGCCAGUUGGCCACCCGAAGACGAAACCACCACAAAUGUCACCCUCAAAAUUUUCUCCGGAAAGAAAGUAAGGGAAACCGGUCAGAGACCACAAAAGUUUCCAUGGUGCCUUGACGCUGAUCAUUCUCGGCGGCGAGUCCAGCUACAAUCUGUGAGGCGGCGGCGGCGGCAAGAACUUGACAAGGACACCAAGCCUAGCCUGGCCAGCUGGCCUGAAAGGUGGAUGAUGACAACAGGAACAGUCACCUAUUCCAUGCUGAUCUAGCGGCAAGCAUCCACCUCCUCUGCGGUCUCCCCUCCGAAUCUCCGAUGGGUCCCCGGGGGCGACACGUACGCCGAUCCGGUCCAGUGCGGAAACGAACCUCCACCGGCGGGGAAGCUCAAUACAGGCACGAUGCAUCCAGGCACAAAUCGAUCGAUUUAGAAACAAGAAUCAAAGGUGUGCGAGCCGAGAGACGAACACGAGAGCAAAUCCUUCCUUAAUAUUCAUGGACAGCGCAACGCUGACCUGCAACAACCGAAGCCGACCACAGGCAUCCGCAAGACAGCAAGUGAAGCUCAGAUCGGCGAACUGCGGCCUUCUGCGCUUCGCCUAGGAGCCUACGGAGUACUGAGAACAGAGCAGCGGAGGAUCAUGGCACAC
rnacentral:lncRNA from 1 species